UUUCCGUAGGUGAACCUGCGGAAGGAUCAUUCAUAAUAUGUGUUUUAUGGCACUUUUUUAAAUCCAUAUCCACCUUGUUUGCAAUGUCAGGGUUGACUUUUCUCUCUAAAGGAUCAGCCCCAAACAUCAACUAUAUCUCACCUCAUUGUCUGAAAAAUAUUAUGAAUAAAACAAUUCAAAAUACAACUUUCAACAACGGAUCUCUUGGCUCUC
rnacentral:misc_RNA from 1 species